rnacentral:rRNA from 1 species
UACGGAGGGUGCAAACGUUGCUCGGAAUCAUUGGGCGUAAAGCGCACGUAGGCGGCCUGUUAAGUCGGGUGUGAAAGCCCUGGGCUCAAACCCAGGGAAGUGCACACGGAAACUGGCAGGCUUGAAUAUGGAAGAGGGUCGCGGAAUUCCCGGUGUAGAGGUGAAAUUCGUAGAUAUCGGGAGGAACACCAGUGGCGAAGGCGGCGACCUGGGCCAAUAUUGACGCUGAGGUGCGAAAGCGUGGGGAGCAAACAGG